rnacentral:rRNA from 1 species
GUGGGGAAUAUUGGGCAAUGGGCGCAAGCCUGACCCAGCAACGCCGCGUGAGGGAAGAAGGCUUUCGGGUUGUAAACCUCUGUCCUUGGUGACGAAAAAAAUGACGGUAGCCAAGGAGGAAGCCCCGGCUAACUACGUGCCAGCAGCCGCGGUAAUACGUAGGGGGCGAGCGUUGUCCGGAAUUACUGGGCGUAAAGGGUGCGUAGGUGGCCUUUUAAGUUGGAUGUGAAAUACCCGGGCUUAACUUGGGGGGUGCAUCCAAAACUGGGAGGCUAGAGUGCAGGAGAGGAAAGCGGAAUUCCUAGUGUAGCGGUGAAAUGCGUAGAUAUUAGGAGGAACACCAGUGGCGAAGGCGGCUUUCUGGCCCGAACCUGACGCUGAGACGCGAAAGCGUGGGGAGCAAACAGGAUUAGAAACCCCGGUAGUCC